rnacentral:lncRNA from 1 species
AUGCGCUAUUUGGAGGAUAUUUGGGGUGUCUGGCAACACUCGGAAGCGGAAUUCGAUUGUUUUCUAAAUAUCCUAAACACGCACGAUCCGUCCAUCACGCUCAAAUCGUGCAAGCACUUUUCCUCGGUAGACUUCCUGGACACUACAACGUUUAAAGGACCUGACUUCGCAACGUCCCUCACGUUGGAAGUCAAAGUCUUUUUUAAAGCAACAGACACACACGCGCUCUUGCAUGCGAGCAGCUUUCACCCGAAACACACGUUCGCGGGACUACUAAAAUCACAACUCCUACGGUUUCAACGGAUCUGUUCCAGAACCUCUGAUUUCUGGCAAGCAGUCAGGGUUCUGUUUGAGGCUCUUGCCCUCAGGGGUUAUUCGCGUUCGGCCCGCCGUCUUUCGCUUAAGGUUUUCAAAUUAGUGCAUCCGCCUGUGGAGGGACACCGUAUACCUUUUGUGACGACAUAUUCCACCUCCUCCGCUCGCCUGACCCGACUGGUCAGGGCGAACUUUCAACACCUCCUGGACUCUACCACUUACCUUCCUGACUACGGCAUUAUCGCGGCCUACAGGAGGAACAAGAAUAUUAGAGAUCUGCUAGUGAGGGCCAAACUACGCCCCCUGUCGGAGCCCAGAGUCAACAGACUCUCUUAUUUUUAUAACUUUAUCCCGUGGGCCCGAAACCGGAAUAAUGGGAACGUUUUCCCCACUGAUCGCCAUGCUGAUCUUAACACGAGAAAUUGUGUGUACCUUAUCCGCUGCCUUACCUGUGAUCUCCAAUAUGUGGGAGAAACGGGGAAUACAGUUCGUGUCCGCUUCUACCAGCACAGGUACAACAUCACACACAAAAGAGACGCUCACCUACCUGUGGUUGCGCAUUUUGUUGAACACGGAUGGCAGGCCCUUUCCGCGUCUGUGCUCGAAGCAAACCCUUUUUGGUCCACCGCCCAACGGCGCAGGGCUGAAAGGAUAUGGAUUGUCAGGCUGGGGACAUGGCAACCCCUUGGCUUGAACGUUGGGUUGGGCCGGGGACCUCUGGGGUUUCGCCUGAUGAUGGCCCGUGCCAGCGACACCACCGCCUUUGGCAGUGGCGUCGUUAAUUGUUGA